GCCCAAGAGAUCGGGAUAACACCUGAAACAGAUGCUAAUACCGGAUAACAACAGAUGAUGCCUAUCAACUGUUUAAAAGAUGGUUCUGCUAUCACUCUUGGAUGGACCUGCGGUGCAUUAGCUAGUUGGUAGGGUAACGGCCUACCAAGGCGAUGAUGCAUAGCCGAGUUGAGAGACUGAUCGGCCACAUUGGGACUGAGACACGGCCCAAACUCCUACGGGAGGCAGCAGCA
rnacentral:rRNA from 1 species